GGUUCUAUGGCGCAAUUGGUUAGCGCGUCCGGCUGUUAUUGGGCCCAACCCAAGCUAGUGCGCAAAAACCGGGAGGUUGAAAGUUCGAGUCUUUCUAGUACCG